CCUUGGCGAAAACGAACGGAGCACUAUUCCGAGAUUAAUGUGUGUUUCUGGCGAGCUUUGGGUAUGCAUUAAUUCUCCCGUUUAAUCACCCUGGCAAUUACGCAACAACCGACGAACCGUACGUCUCGCGUGGCCCGCGAAAUUCUGCGUAGUCAUUGCAGUAGCUGAGCCUGUCUGCUAGCGAACGGCGCUACCCACGAUUAAUAGCUUUGUCGUUGAAAAACAAAAAACUUUGUUUAUACUUUGACGUGAACGUGUAAACGGAUAAAGAAUUUUUAACGAAGAACGUUAAAAGCGCACAGAGAAACAAAGAGAACUGAAACGCCAGAUCGUAGCGAGUCCAAACGAAUUUCCGCAUCACCAGAGACAAUGUUCAAAAAUUGAUUGUACGCGCUUGUCACUCGACCUCGACAGAAACAAUAUUUAAAAAUGCAGAAUCCAGUGUUUAAAAGCUUAAUAAAUAUCCAACGCACGUUGGCUGUCAUCGUUUGUAAGUAAACAAAAUCCUGAUCGCCAUCUUGCGAACGUUCCUUUCCGGUGUUUGCGCAUCUUGCGGCGGGCGAACAAAGUAGACGGAAAGCAGAUCCUGCGACGGUCACACGAGAGUUGAAGUUACUUCGCAGUAUUUAUUAACCUCGUUAGACGGUAAAAAAGAAUUUAUACGAGUCGUCCGGGUAUCGUUGCGAAACACUUUCCCAUGUAACGACCCCCGACCACCUAUUCACCUGCUCUACUUAUCCCCACUGUGCGCACGCCGCUCUGAAUAUUAUUUUCACAGUAUUUCACGAGCUUGCGGUGCACCUGAAAAACAGACCUGAUAAAAUGUAAAUAACGAACGAGUGGAAUAAAGCGUAGUAAGCAAAUACUGCACCGCGCAACCGUGGACUCGAUUAAGUGGAUAUUCUGGUUCGGAGCGUUAAAAACGAUGAAAGUUAAUCAACCCGAGAGUGUACGUACGUUACGAUACGAUUUACUAAAAAUUGAUACGUAAAAAAAUGUGAGUAUCCAUUUCAAGCGAACAGU